CUUCCGGGAACAGAUCCAGUGGAGACGCAGUGGGGCCUGUAGCUCAGAGGAUUAGAGCACGUGGCUACGAACCACGGUGUCGGGGGUUCGAAUCCCUCCUCGCCCAC
rnacentral:tRNA from 1 species